rnacentral:rRNA from 1 species
GAUGAACGCUGGCGGCGUGCCUAAUACAUGCAAGUCGAGCGAACGGACGAGAAGCGUGCUCUUCUGAUGUUAGCGGCUGACGGGCGAGUAACACGUGGAUAACCUACCUAUAAGACUGGGAUGACUACGGGAAAACGGAGCUACUACUGGAUCAUAUUUUCAACCGCAGGGAUCAAAAGUGAAUGAGGGUCUUGCUGUCACUUAGAGAUGGAUCCGCGCUGCAUUAGCUAGUUGGUAAGGUAACGGCUUACCAAGGCUACGAUGCGUAGCCGACCUGAGAGGAUGAUCGGCCACACUGGAACUGAGACACGGUCCAGACUCCUACGGGAGGCAGCAGUAGGGAAUCUUCCGCAAUGGGCGAAAGCCUGACGGAGCAAUGCCGCGUGAGUGAUGAAGGUCUUCGGGUCGUAAAGCUCUUUUAUUGGGGAAGAACAGAUGUGUGAUAAUCUGUGCAUAUCUUGACGGUACCUAAUCAGAAAGCCCCGGCUAACUACGUG